GGAUGUGAGGGCGAUCUGGCUGCGACAUCUGUCACCCCAUUGAUCGCUAGGGUUGAUUCGGCUGAUCUGGUUGGCUAGGCGGGUGUCCCCUUCCUCCCCUCACGGCUCCAUGUGUGUCCCUCCCGAAGCUCUGCGCUCGGUGGAAGAGGACGUGGUCCCCCCGGCGGACGAACAUCCAUCGGUAUACCAGUAGCUGCGCUCCCCUGCUAGAACCUCCAAACAAGCUCAAGGCCCAAUUGUAGGAGAAACGUAGGGAAGUCAAGCUCCAAGCUUCAGACACAUCCAAGUGCGGCGCUGCACGUGGCAGUCUGCCCUCCUUU
rnacentral:snRNA from 1 species